GCCAGGCGUGGUGGCACACGCCUGUAAUCCCAGCUACUCAGGAGGCUGAGACAGGAGAAUGGCUUGAACCCGGGAGGCGGGAGAUUGCAGUGAGCCGAGAUCAUGCCAUUGCACUCCAGCCAAGAUGACACAGUGAGACUCCAGAUUUGGUGGUGCACACGUGUGGUCUCAGCUAUUUGGAAGUGCACACGUGUGGUCUCAGCUAUUUGGAAGACUGAAGCUAGAGGAUCACAUGAGCCCAGGGGUUGGAGGCUGCAGUGAGCUAUGAUCACACCACUGCACUCCAACCUGGGUGACAGAGCAAGACCCUGUCUCA
rnacentral:sRNA from 1 species